GUGGGGAAUAUUGGACAAUGGGCGAAAGCCUGAUCCAGCCAUGCCGCGUGUGUGAAGAAGGUCUUCGGAUUGUAAAGCACUUUAAGUUGGGAGGAAGGGCAGUAAGUUAAUACCUUGCUGUUUUGACGUUACCGACAGAAUAAGCACCGGCUAACUUCGUGCCAGCAGCCGCGGUAAUACGAAGGGUGCAAGCGUUAAUCGGAAUUACUGGGCGUAAAGCGCGCGUAGGUGGUUUUGUAAGUUGGAGGUGAAAUCCCCGGGCUCAACCUGGGAACUGCCUCCAAAACUGCUUGACUAGAGUACGGUAGAGGGUAGUGGAAUUUCCUGUGUAGCGGUGAAAUGCGUAGAUAUAGGAAGGAACACCAGUGGCGAAGGCGACUACCUGGACUGAUACUGACACUGAGGCGCGAAAGCGUGGGGAGCAAACAGGAUUAGAAACCCGAGUAGUCC
rnacentral:rRNA from 1 species